rnacentral:lncRNA from 1 species
UCGGGAAUAACCAUCAUUUGGAGAGAAACCAAUGUAUAGUUAGAGAAUGACCACCACAAAGAUCCAAUGGGGAAGACUUAACAAGGAAAGACUUCACUAGGGAAAUAAAAUAGUCAAAGGGGUAAAAUCCAAAUCCACUAGUGGAGGAAUAUUAUCCAACUAUCAGCCAAGUGGUAGCUUAACAAAGGUAAUAAGCUCUAACAAAAUGAUUACUAACUACCAGCCAAGUGGUAACUUAACAAAGGCAACCAAUCAAAUGUAAGAGGAACUAUUACCUAUUAUCAACCAAGUGAUAUCUUAACAAAGGUAAUGAGAUCAAACAAA